CAGACAGACCUAUGGGAACACGCGGGAACCUCUCUUGGAAAACCUGACAAGCGAGUACGACUUGGACCUUUUCCGAAGAGCACAAGCCCGAGCUUCAGAGGAUUUGGAGAAGUUGAGGCUACAAGGCCAAAUCACAGAGGGGAGCAACAUGAUUAAAACAAUUGCUUUUGGCCGCUAUGAGCUUGAUACCUGGUACCAUUCUCCCUAUCCUGAAGAAUAUGCACGGCUGGGACGUCUUUACAUGUGUGAAUUCUGUUUAAAAUAUAUGAAGAGCCAAACGAUACUCCGCCGACACAUGGCGAAGUGUGUGUGGAAACACCCACCUGGUGAUGAAAUCUAUCGCAAAGGUUCAAUCUCUGUGUUUGAGGUAGAUGGCAAGAAAAACAAGAUCUACUGCCAAAACCUGUGUCUGUUGGCCAAGCUUUUUCUGGACCACAAGACAUUAUAUUAUGAUGUGGAACCUUUCCUGUUCUAUGUUAUGACAGAAGCGGACAACACUGGGUGUCACCUGAUUGGAUAUUUUU